AUUGCAUUCGCAGCUCCUGUCUGCCCAUCAAAAACAGCAGGGUUGCUCUUUGGAACUACAUCAAGUUUUCUCUCCCUUAGAAUCCCUAACACUCUUCGGAGAGCCUUACAGUUGCUCUGAAGCGAUCUGCUGAACAGAUGAUGGGAUAGAAAGAUGAAUGAAUAUAUUCAUAGUUACUUGCGAUGGUCAGGAAUCAGAUGGUCCUCCUCCUGACGAAUCAUCAGAAGGCCAGUAGUAAGUAGCCUGUCACUACAUCACCAAUGCCUAUGUCAUCCACCUCCCUUCAUUUCAUCAUGUAGGCAUUUUACCAUCUCA